UACGAAGGGGGCUAGCGUUGCUCGGAAUGACUGGGCGUAAAGGGCGCGUAGGCGGUUCAUACAGUCAGAUGUGAAAUUCCUGGGCUCAACCUGGGGGCUGCAUUUGAUACGUGUGGACUGGAGUGGGGAAGAGGGUCGUGGAAUUCCCAGUGUAGAGGUGAAAUUCGUAGAUAUUGGGAAGAACACCGGUGGCGAAGGCGGCAUCCUGGACCAAUUCUGACGCUGAGGAGCGAAAGCCAGGGGAGCAAACGGG
rnacentral:rRNA from 1 species